GUGCUGGCGUGCAGUGCAUCACCGAGCACCGUCUGUUCCACGACUUCUGUCUGCGGAGGGAAAUGCUGGCGGUGAAUGCACGCCAGUACUGCCGCUACGACUAUCGGCUGCGGCUGUUGGAUCCGACAGACAACAGGUGUCUGAGGUUCACAGCCUACUCUGUAUUUGCCAGUUGGGUCUGGGGCUACCUCGGACCUAGAAAUAGGCGACAAAUUCCAGGCUGCGCUGUGCGAGCGAUUCGAAGAGAGCACCCGUCGCCUUCAUACCAAGGGUAUCUUUCUUAAGAAUGUAGAUUCCAGGCUGCUGUCUUCUCAGAACUGCCCAUGUGCUGGAAUGAAAAAAAAAUGUUAACUUGGUUAUAAUAAAAUAUAGUU